GCGUUCCAAAUCCCAGACCUGGUGCGUGCCGGCUCCGUAUGCUCCUCCUGGCGCUCCGCCUACGAAACCCUGCGCAACCUCGGGUUGUACAACCAGUCCCAGACGCCAUGCCUGCUCUACACCUCCGAGUCCGACGGCGAGAGCACCGCGCGUCUCUACAGCCUCGUGGAGAAGAAGGCCUACAGGCUGACCCUCCCGGACCCGCCCAUCCGCACCAGGUCUCUGAUCGGGUCCUCCCCUGAAGGUUUGCUGGUUACAGCCGAUGACAGGUCCGAGAUGCAUCUUCUCAACCCCAUCACAGGUCAACAGAUCGCCCUCCCGUCGGUGAUCACCAUCCGGCAGGUGAGCCCCAUCUACGACGACUCCGGCGUCCUCCGCAUGUACAGAUACUCGGCCCGCACUAGGCAUACCGUUCUCGCGCUGCCAGCAAACCUUGCUCUUAGCGAGCUGCGCCACCAACUCCAUCACAAGGCCUUUGUGUUUCCUCUUUCUCAUGACGAUGCAUCCUUAGAAGAAGCAGGAGGACACGUUGUGGUGCUGAUCCACAACCCGUCUUGCCAGCUCUCCUUUGCAAGGGCAGGGGCCGAGAGCUGGACCUGGCUGCCACCACACACCUCCUACGACGACUGCAUGUACAAGGAUGGCCUCAUGCAUGCGGUGACUUCAUGGGGAGAAAUCCAUGGCUUCGAUCUUGCCAGCCCUGCCCCUGUGGCCACCAUGAAGAUCGUUAUGGAGGGGCCAAUGACUUAUAGAUAUCUUAGUAUGUACAUCAUACAAGCCCCAUGGGGUGAUCUUCUCCAGGUUUGGAGAAAAUUUGGGGAUUGUGAUUUAGGAGAUACACCCCAGUCAUCUGUGUUUUGGACUACGGGCAAAAUUAGAGUAUAUAAAGUUGAUGCCGCGGCGAACGAACUCGAGAGAACCAGUUCCUUGCGCGGCCAUGCGUUGUUCCUUGGGCAUAAUCAGUCGCUUUGUCUUCGUACCGAAGAAUACCCGUCUCUUAAGGCGAACCAUGCCUACUUCACCGACGAUUGCAAGUAUUGGACAAUGGGACUCCAGAAUAAUCGCCGUGAUAUGGGAGUUCUCAACUUGGAUGAUAACAGCAGCGAGGAACUUGUGUCUCCUCGCCUUUGGUCCAACCGUCCGGCCCCCAUAUGGAUUACACCAAAUCUCAGAGAGAUA
rnacentral:rRNA from 1 species